rnacentral:tRNA from 1 species
GGGGCCGUCGUCUAGCUUGGUAGGAUGCCAGCCUGGGAAUCGGGAGUAUCCCAGUAAGAUCCCGGGUUCAAAUCCCGGCGGCCCCACCA